rnacentral:rRNA from 1 species
UACAGAGGGGGCAAGCGUUGUUCGGAAUUACUGGGCGUAAAGGGCGCGUAGGCGGCCCGCUAAGUCGAACGUGAAAUCCCCGAGCUCCAACUCGGGAACUGCGUCCGAUACUGGCGGGCUUGAAUCCGGGAGAGGGGAUGCGGAAUUCCGAAGGUGUAGCGGGUGAAAUGACGUAGAUAUCUGGAGGAACACCGGUGGCGAAGGCGGCAUCCUGGACCACAAUGACGCUGAGGCACGAAGGUCAGGGGAGCAAACGGGAGUUAGAAAAACCCCGG